rnacentral:rRNA from 1 species
UAUCAGAGGGGGAUAACCCGGCGAAAGUCGGACUAAUACCGCAUGAAGCAGGGGCCCCGCAUGGGGAUAUUUGCUAAAGAUUCAUCGCUGAUAGAUAGGCAUGCGUUCCAUUAGGCAGUUGGCGGGGUAACGGCCCACCAAACCGACGAUGGAUAGGGGUUCUGAGAGGAUGGUCCCCCACAUUGGUACUGAGACACGGACCAAACUCCUACGGG